rnacentral:lncRNA from 10 species
UAUCCCUUCUCUAAGUAAUUUUUACUGCUCUUUUCUAAACUCUUCUAAAGUUUUAGGCCCAAAAUGGAACUUAAGAAAUGCCAUUUAGACUAAUUAUCUAACCAUAUACGUGAAGAAACAGAGACUCAGAGAAGCUGAGAUAUUGCUUAAACCACAGCACUAUUUAGGGCAAAACCAACAAGAAGUUUCAUGACCCCCCAGUCCAUUGUCGUCUGAACUGGAUUAUCGGCUUUACUUAUUGCUUAGUGAUGAUAUAUGUUCCGGGGGAGCUUAUGAUCUGACCUUCAUCUGAACACAAUAGACUGCUUCUGAUUUUUCCAGCCAAAGAGAAAGUAUUUGGGUUUUGAGCAUCUUUUUAACUGAGAACAUUCCUCUUCCUGGCUAUGAAAACCUUCCCCUGUGUAUGUAGUAGGAAGACUGCUACACUAACCAGACUUCACCCAUUGCUUUCCAAAAACCAAUGUGAAAAGGCUAUUGAACUGAGCAGUGUAUUGUUUUGUCUGCAGCUUACCCAACAUGCAAAAAUACAGACUUUCUCAGUGUGCAUUGUUCUGUGUUCAGUUUCACAACUGUAAAGAAUAACUUAUUCCAUGUAAGAUUUUGUGUUGUGCCUAAAACACGAAAUAAUCCCCCUAGGAUCUACUAGAAAAGUAUCUUAUGCUAUAAGAACACUGAUCAUUUCUGCUACAAGCAAACAUAGAGGUUGUGUUCUAAAGUGUUAAUCUUCCUCUGGGGGUGGCUAGAGAACAGCUUACCAAGGGGGAGAAAUCUGGCUCAUGUCGACAAAGCUCUCACAGCUCUUCAGAAGAGAAGUAUUGUGUAAGUGCAAAGCUAUUAUUAUAUAAAAGCAUUCAGAGGAUAAUAUUAGCCAUAAUUGUAUUAAAUAUUAAUAUUAAUGCAAAUGGUGGCUAAGAGCUUAAAGAAGAGCUUAUAAACUGUAACAGUCAAUAACAAUGGAGUAAAGGUAUAUAAAAUUUGUAUAUUGUCAAC